rnacentral:rRNA from 1 species
AAACAUAGCCCUAAGGAUUAAUUUAGGGUAAGAUCUGCCCAAUGAGAAAUUUAAAUGGCCGCGGUACUCUGACCGUGCUAAGGUAGCAUAAUCAGUUGACUUUUAAUUGAAGUCUGGAAUGAAAGAGGAAACGGAAUUCAGCUGUCUCAAAUUUCUUUAAUUCUAAGUUACUAACUAGGUGAAAAGGCCUAGAAAAGAUAAAAGACGAGAAGACCCUAAGAGUUUAAUAUUAUCGUAUUUGUUUUGUUGGGGCAACAAGGGAUCAAAUUUUUUAAAUAUCCUUAUUAUAAACAUAAGACGGUUCUUUCAUGAAUAGACAAACUACCUUAGGGAUAACAGCAUAAUUCUUUUAAUUGAGUUUGUGACCUCGAUGUUGGACUAGGAAGCCUUUAGGCUAGCUGCCUAGAGUGGGGAUUCUGUUCGAAUUAUUACUCCUACGUGAUCUGAGUUCAG